CGUAGGCGUCGGCCUAGAUGUCUCCGCCCGCCUCUGCAGCCGUUGCCCCCCAAAGCUAAGCCCGCCUGCAUGAGCAAGGUCCAUACAUGGAGAAAAUGGGAAGAUUAAGCAUUUUGGGAUAAUCACGGUCUUUUUUCCUGUAAGUGUACUUCUCUUUAUAGUCUUCUUAUCUUAGAAGAAAGGGUAAGAUACAACUCUGAAACAUAUUUGAGUUUAUGAUGUCAAAUAGAGCCUAUGCUUCUACGAUUGCGAAUGACGAAUUCAGUGUUAGUUCCUUAGACAUUCAUAUUGAAAUAACAAGACCUGAGAUAAUAUGCCUUAGCAGUUUUUCUCAAUUUUGCAGUCAUUUUAAUUCAGCCAUCAAUUUGGUUCUAUUUUUUUGCUUUCAAAAUUCAGAUAAGGAAAACAUUCUGAUGGACCAUUAAAAUGUACUGUUCUUGAUAUGCCUUAGCAGUUUCUCUCAAUUUUGCAGUCAUUUUAGUUCAGCCAUCAAUUUGGUUCUCUUUUUGCUUUCGAAAUUCAGACAGGGAAAACAUUCUGAUGGACCAUUAAAAUGUACUGUUCUUGCUUCUUUAAUUGGAGCAAUUUCCUUGUGCUAUUCAUAGUGCUGUAUAUAUUUAACUAUGUUUGAUGUUAAACUGCAUCUGAUCAAUCCUCUUCGAAUUAACAUUUAUCAUGUGAUUGCCUAUCUAUCAGCAACUAGAGGGCGACCACCAGCAUUGACCAAAUCCUAUUCAUGUUGAUGUACAUAUUUAACUAUGUUGAUGUUAGCUCAUCUUAAGUAAUGUUCCUUUACAACAGGCUAUCAUGUAGAUCUCUAUUUAAAUUGUCCAUCCAGUUCACCAUUUCACAAUUUCACCUUCCAUACUAACUGAAGUUGCUUCAAUUUCCACAUAUUAAUACAACAGAAGAUGAGCAUCAUGCAAAGAGGUAGUUUUGCACUUCGAAGGAGUUAUUUUUUGUUUCUGGAGUCGGAAGAACUCUAUUUGGAUCCAAAUCCAACUGAUUCUUCGUCGUGGUUUGCAUCAUGCCUCCAAUGCACGACAAAAGUAGUCCGCUCUAGAGAUAUAAAGGUGAGAGUGCAAAAAUAUGUUCCUCCCUUUACAACAUAUAUAACUAUUGUACUUGAAUUUUCCAUUCGAAUGUUAUAUUUUUUCUAACCAAUCUAUCCCAAUAUAUUUAUUUUUAUUGAUUUCUAAAAUUCUUCAUGUCUUCAUAAGUAGGUAUUACAAAGUUGGAAAUUCUGAUGUGUCAAAUGUUGCAUUAAAGAACAAUAUUGAUUUUUUUUAAUUACCGAUCUUAAUUUUUAAAUAGAUGGCUUUAAUGAAAUAGGAUGAUACCCAAUCAAAAUGGUUAGUACUUUCUUACUGAUUUACUUUGUUUUAUGACACUUUAUGCAUGUGCACCCACAAACAAUGUUUUUGGCCAGAAAAAAUGUGAUAGAUUGGCGAUAGAUGUCAUGGUGACGGUGUUUGGCCGGGGUGAAAGCCCUGCUCGACGGUGGCUGGCUGAACGCGGCGAUGCCCGCGCCGUUUUCCUUCUCGGAAGCGUGUUCAUGGACGUGUUCAUUGUCUUCACCAUGCCUCCCCUCGGAUGCAGUGGAAAACCCUAGGUCGGGUCACCAGACCAGGCGGUUGCGGCACCACGGUGUCAUCAUCUUCUGGAAGACGUCGUCUAGGCCAUGAGGGGAGUGGCCAAUGUGACAAUUGGAGUUGGAGGCAUUUAUGCACCGCCGGUGUUGGCCAUAGCCCUAGGCUUGUGCUUCCAAGGCGCAACGUACGACAUAGCGUCACAUCUUGUUGGGCGACUUCCCGGAGUCUGUCAGGCUGCCUCCUCCUCACCGACUCCUCUAGGCACAUGAGUCGAAGUCGUGCUACGGUGUGUCUUUUUUGGUUUGUGACUCGGUUUGGAAGCCAUGUGAUCCUCUUGUCAUUCUUUGUUGGAUGUUGGCAAGGCGAGCCGUUUAUUAUCUGGUUUGUACAUGGUGUUUUUGUUUGCCUCUUGACGUUGCAUCGUGGAGUGGAGUUGUGUCCUUGUUGGCGUUGUAUCGUGGUGUGAAGUUGUAACCUUUUUGGCAUUAUACCGAUUGUCUUUGGCCUUUCUUCUAUAUGAUCAUACCCCUUUUAGGA